rnacentral:pre_miRNA from 1 species
UUGGAAGAUUUGAAUACUUGAACUUGUAUACUUAGAGAAUUUGAAGACUUCAACUUGCAUACUUGGAGAUUUUGAAGACUUCUUCU